AAAAGCCAAAUUUUUCAAAAUUCAAUUAUCCCAGGGACAGAAAGUGAGGUGAAAUCUUCUGAACAGAUGUAUAGACUGAAAAACAAACACCACAGGGAUGUUAACCAUUCCCUAUGAUAUCCAAAGGUGAAAAAAAAUAUUUUGGCUGAAGUUAAUUUUUUAAAAAUUACAACUUACAUACAAAUUCAACUUAAAGAACCUGCAAAACCUAUCCUGUUCAUAAUUUGGGGACUGCCUGUAUUUUCAUGACAAAAUAAAAUGAUGAUGGAAAGAAAAUGCUAAAUAUGAAAAUAAACCACCAUACAAAAGAGAGCUGCCUAUGAUUCGCAAUAUAACAUAUUCUCUAUUGUUUUCUUAAUUAAGCAACUCUGGAACAGCCAUGGAUUUUGGACUGAGUGUGAACAGCAUGACUGGCUCCAAUUCAAAUCAGUUUGCUUGUCCACAUGGACUUGCGUUGUCUCUGCCCUCUCUCACUGUGGCAAAUGGCCACAGAACUUUGGAGAGCUUCUGGCUGUUGCCGGGCAUCUUUGCUGACAUCAACAAAGGUGCCCAGCAAUGGUCAGGUUCUCACCUGGAGCUCUGAGGCUAUCCAAAAAUAGAAAUAGUGACAGGGCAAGAAAAGUAAGGUGACAGUCAAGCAGUGCUGAAUUGGUUUCAGCCUUGCUGGACCAUCUGGACUCCAAGAUGGACAUGGAGAUAUGGGCUAAUCUGGAGUAAUGCUACUCUUGAUUGUUCCCAGAUUAAAUGCUGCUAGAAUGGCUUUGGCAAAGACAUGGAAACUGGAGGAAUCUCCGAAAAAAGAAGCUUGGAUCCACAAGUUAGAAGAAAUCAAAAAUAUGGAUAAACUUACAUUCCUUUUGAAAGAAUCGAGAGGAAAACCUGUUAGAAGGACAAACUGGUUCAAACUGGAAGACUAUAUUAAAAAAUGAUUAAUUUUAUAUUUGAUGACUAUGUAUAAACUGGAAAUUGAUAGCUUUAAACACAGUGUUAAAUAUUAAUUUCUUCUUAUGGUUCUAUGUUUACUAAUCCCUAUCCCUAUUCCUGACUCCUCCCCCCCCCCUUUUUUUUUUUUUUUUUUUGCGUGUUGAAUGAUUGUUAACCCUCACCUCCUUAUGUCCCGUUUGUUUGGUUGUAUAUAUAUUUUUGCUUUUGUUUCUUCUUUUUGCACGUUCCCCGUUUUUAAUAGUGCACUGUAUUUGAAAAUCAUAAAUAAAAUUUUUUUUUUAAAAAAAACAAUGCCUGAUGGGACUUGCAUGUAUCUAUUCCACACCAAAGCAAGGUUAACUAUGCAAUGUAAAGACAGUGGAAAACAGACAACUUAGGUUUCACAUAGAUAAGGAAAGAAAGAAAGAAAGAAAAAUGAAAGGAAAGAAGGAAGGAAGGAAGGAAGGAAGGAAGGAAGGAAGGAAGGAAGGAAGGAAGGAAAGAAGGAAGGAAAGAAAAGAAAAGAAAAGAAAAGAAAAGAAAAGAAAAGAAAAGAAAGAAUUGUGAAACAGAAUCUCUCUAUGCCUUUCGAUCUGUACUUGAGGUACAGGCUGAUCAACAGCAAGGCAAAGUUGCAGAAUCUUCUCUCUGUUGCAACCAGAUUGGAUUGGUUGGUUGUAUCAAGAUUACAUUUAAUCUUCAAAAAUGUAAUGUAAUGGUUUGGAAUAAACUUCACAGAAACCCCAAUCUGACCACUCAAUGAGCAAGGGAAUUGUAAUGCAAAACAUCUGAAUGAUAUUUGGCUGCUUACCUGUGGCCUAUAUUGAAGCAUAUAUGAAAAUGGUCUGUUUCAGUAAAACAUAUUCCAACAGUCUCAAAUAUA